GACGGAUGAUUUCUUCGGAAUGAAACCUGAUAUGACUUAGUGGCGGACGGGUGAGUAACACGUGAGCAACCUGCCUUUCAGAGGGGGAUAACGGCUGGAAACGGUCGCUAAUACCGCAUGAUGUGUUCGGAUGGCAUCAUCUGAACAUCAAAGAUUUAUCGCUGAAAGAUGGGCUCGCGUCUGAUUAGAUAGUUGGUGGGGUAACGGCCUACCAAGUCUACGAUCAGUAGCCGGACUGAGAGGUUGAACGGCCACAUUGGGACUGAGAUACGGCCCAGACUCCUACGGGAGGCAGCAGUGGGGAAUAUUGCACAAUGGGGGAAACCCUGAUGCAGCAACGCCGCGUGAAGGAUGACGGUUUUCGGAUUGUAAACUUCUUUUCUUAGUGACGAAGACAGUGACGGUAGCUAAGGAAUAAGCAUCGGCUAACUACGUGCCAGCAGCCGCGGUAAUACGUAGGAUGCAAGCGUUAUCCGGAUUUACUGGGUGUAAAGGGAGCGCAGGCGGGACUGCAAGUUGGAUGUGAAAUACCGUGGCUUAACCACGGAACUGCAUCCAAAACUGUAGUUCUUGAGUGAAGUAGAGGCAAGCGGAAUUCCGAGUGUAGCGGUGAAAUGCGUAGAUAUUCGGAGGAACACCAGUGGCGAAGGCGGCUUGCUGGGCUUUAACUGACGCUGAGGCUCGAAAGUGUGGGGAGCAAACAGGAUUAGAUACCCUGGUAGUCCACACUGUAAACGAUGAUAGCUAGGUGUGGGGGGUCUGACCCCUUCCGUGCCGGAGUUAACGCAAUAAGCUAUCCACCUGGGGAGUACGACCGCAAGGUUGAAACUCAAAGGAAUUGACGG
rnacentral:rRNA from 1 species